AAUGGUCAAGUGAUGAUUUGAUGCAUAGUUCAAAUGACUAAUCUAUGAUUAUAUAACUCUUUUAGUCUUUCGCUCCUAUCUGAUGACCUUU